UUAAAAUGAAAAAUCAUCUGAUCCUUUAUGGCGAUGCCUUCUGUCAAAGAACAAAGGUUAAUAUGCAAACGACAACUUCUGAUCAUUCUUUGAAAAGAAAUUAAAUCAUGACCAUGUUCAUAAGGUUAGUACAAGUGAAUUCACAUGUGUGCAACACCAGUAUUAGCAAUAGACUUGACAUGUUGAUUUAGGUUGGAAAGGCUUGGAUUGGUGCGGUAAUGGUACAUUAGAGGGACCAUUCUAGCAGCACUCAGGCAGAAUUUGGUAAAUGACGAUGGAAAUUGCUGAUCUCUG
rnacentral:lncRNA from 1 species